CAUGCCGCGUGAAGGAUUAAGGCCCUUCUGGGUUGUAAACUUCUUUUAUAGGGGACGAAAAAGGGGCUUUCUAGCCCAACUGACGGUACCCUAUGAAUAAGCACCGGCUAACUCCGUGCCAGCAGCCGCGGUAAUACGGAGGGUGCAAGCGUUAUCCGGAUUCACUGGGUUUAAAGGGUGCGUAGGCGGGCAUUUAAGUCAGUGGUGAAAUCCUGGGGCUCAACCCCGGAACUGCCAUUGAUACUAUUUGUCUUGAAUACCGUGGAGGUCAGCGGAAUAUGUCAUGUAGCGGUGAAAUGCUUAGAUAUGACAUAGAACACCGAUUGCGAAGGCAGCUGGCUACACGAAUAUUGACGCUGAGGCACGAAAGCGUGGGGAUCAAACAGGAUUAGAUACCCUGGUAGUCCACGCCCUAAACUAUGGAUACUCGACAUUUGCGAUACACAGCAAGUGUCUGAGCGAAAGCAUUAAGUAUCCCACCUGGGAAGUACGACCGCAAGGUUGAAACUCA
rnacentral:rRNA from 1 species